AUUUUUUUACUUUAUUUCAAAUAUGAUGUCAAGACACAAUUUACCAAGCCCCUCCUGUUUUUGAAAUGUCCAGUAUUGUCUUUAUCCCCUUCGGUACAAAGAUGGAUUCUUUGCAUGCAAGUCACAUGACAUUAAGUAGUCGAAACAUAAUUUUUAUGUAAGCAUCAUUAUGGCAGAUUCAGAGGAAUACACAAAUCAAAAAAGGUAAUUUAUUUUAUCCACAAUUGGUAAUCAUUUAUAUAUAGCUGCUGGUACCUGGUGCAGUUUGGGGGACGUUAAAGGACCACUCUAGGCACCCAGACCACUUCAGCUUAAUGAAGUGGUCUGGGUGCCAGGUCCCUCUAGGAUUAACC